UACGUAGGGUGCGAGCGUUAAUCGGAAUUACUGGGCGUAAAGUGUGCGCAGGCGGCCGCGCAAGUCGAGUGUGAAAUCCCCGAGCUUAACUUGGGAAUUGCGCUAGAAACUACGUGGCUGGAGUGUGGCAGAGGAAGGUGGAAUUCCACGUGUAGCGGUGAAAUGCGUAGAUAUGUGGAGGAACACCGAUGGCGAAGGCAGCCUUCUGGGCCAACACUGACGCUCAUGCACGAAAGCGUGGGGAGCAAACAGG
rnacentral:rRNA from 1 species